rnacentral:rRNA from 1 species
AUACGUAGGUGGCAAGCGUUGUCCGGAUUUACUGGGUGUAAAGGGCGUGUAGGCGGAAUAGCAAGUCAGAUGUGAAAUACGGGGGCUCAACCCCCGGGCUGCAUUUGAAACGGCUGUUCUUGAGUGAUGGAGAGGUAAGCGGAAUUCCCGGUGUAGCGGUAAAAUGCGUAGAUAUCGGGAGGAACACCAGUGGCGAAGGCGGCUUACUGGACAUUUACUGACGCUGAGGCGCGAAAGUGUGGGGAGC